CACGUAGGAGGCGAGCGUUAUCCGGAUUCACUGGGCGUAAAGCGCAUGUAGGCGGAUGUCUAAGUCGUGUGUUAAAGCCCCUGGCUCAACUGGGGGAGGUCAUGCGAGACUGGAUGACUUGAGGGCAACAGAGGCACGUGGAACUCCCGGUGUAGCGGUGGAAUGCGUAGAGAUCGGGAAGAACACCCGUGGCGAAGGCGGCGUGCUGGGUUGCAACUGACGCUGAGAUGCGAAAGUGUGGGGAGCAAACGGGG
rnacentral:rRNA from 1 species